rnacentral:rRNA from 1 species
UACGGAGGGGGCUAGCGUUGUUCGGAAUUACUGGGCGUAAAGCGCGCGUAGGCGGUUCUGCAAGUCGGGGGUGAAAUCCCGAGGCUCAACCUCGGAACUGCCUUCGAUACUGCGGGUCUCGAGUCCGGGAGAGGUGAGUGGAAUUCCUAGUGUAGAGGUGAAAUUCGUAGAUAUUCGCAAGAACACCAGUGGCGAAGGCGGCUCACUGGCCCGAUACUGACGCUGAGGUGCGAAAGCGUGGGGAGCAAACAGG